UCUUCCUGGUUGUCCAGUAUUCUUACAGUAAUUUGGGGUCCAGGUUGGGGGAAGGGGGGAGAUAGGGGGAAAAUGGGAGAUUUAGCAAAUUGGAGAUUUAGGCAUCCUCAGAGUGGAUUUGUCUGUGCCUCCUUCCACCAGGAGAUGAAAAUGCCUGCUGGGCUGGGAGAUAGGUCAUGAGACUUCUAAAGGAUUACCUUCAAAAGGGAGUCAUGAGGUCCAGCUAAACAAAGGAGAGGCUCACAUGCUUGUCAUAUGGAAUUCUCUUCUUAAAAGGGGGGAGCCUCAUCUCCUUAGGGAUUUUCACCCGCCUCUACUGGGAUGAGGAAAAUGAGAGCAGAAUUUCUGAACGGGGAAAGAAAGCUGAGGCAGGGGCCCAGAGCUCAACAGCCUUCCUAUGCAUGUUAGCCAUCUCUACCAACUUUUAAAAAAUCAAACUUUCCAGCCCCAACCAGUCUCAUUUAUUGCUUUGCUAUUUGACUGAAAAGUAGAAAAAAAAAAGGAAGAUCACUCAGACAUCUUCAAGUUUGCUCAUCCUAAGAGGAAUCUUCUUUCUGAAUUAAGUAAAAAAUAAUAAGUCAAA